rnacentral:rRNA from 1 species
GGCGGCUGCUAUACAUGCAAGUCGAGCGGACAGAUGGGAGCUUGCUCCCUGAUGUUAGCGGCGGACGGGUGAGUAACACGUGGGUAACCUGCCUGUAAGACUGGGAUAACUCCGGGAAACCGGGGCUAAUACCGGAUGGUUGUUUGAACCGCAUGGUUCAGACAUAAAAGGUGGCUUCGGCUACCACUUACAGAUGGACCCGCGGCGCAUUAGCUAGUUGGUGAGGUAACGGCUCACCAAGGCGACGAUGCGUAGCCGACCUGAGAGGGUGAUCGGCCACACUGGGACUGAGACACGGCCCAGACUCCUACGGGAGGCAGCAGUAGGGAAUCUUCCGCAAUGGACGAAAGUCUGACGGAGCAACGCCGCGUGAGUGAUGAAGGUUUUCGGAUCGUAAAGCUCUGUUGUUAGGGAAGAACAAGUGCCGUUCAAAUAGGGCGGCACCUUGACGGUACCUAACCAGAAAGCCACGGCUAACUACGUGCCAGCAGCCGCGGUAAUACGUAGGUGGCAAGCGUUGUCCGGAAUUAUUGGGCGUAAAGGGCUCGCAGGCGGUUUCUUAAGUCUGAUGUGAAAGCCCCCGGCUCAACCGGGGAGGGUCAUUGGAAACUGGGGAACUUGAGUGCAGAAGAGGAGAGUGGAAUUCCACGUGUAGCGGUGAAAUGCGUAGAGAUGUGGAGGAACACCAGUGGCGAAGGCGACUCUCUGGUCUGUAACUGACGCUGAGGAGCGAAAGCGUGGGGAGCGAACAGGAUUAGAUACCCUGGUAGUCCACGCCGUAAACGAUGAGUGCUAAGUGUUUAGGGGGUUUCCGCCCCUUAGUGCUGCAGCUAACGCAUUAAGCACUCCGCCUGGGGAGUACGGUCGCAAGACUGAAACUCAAAGGAAUUGACGGGGGCCCGCACAAGCGGUGGAGCAUGUGGUUUAAUUCGAAGCAACGCGAAGAACCUUACCAGGUCUUGACAUCCUCUGACAAUCCUAGAGAUAGGACGUCCCCUUCGGGGGCAGAGUGACAGGUGGUGCAUGGUUGUCGUCACCUCCUGUCCUGAGAUGUUGGGUUAAUUCCCGCAACGAACGCACCCUUGAUCUUAUUUGCCAGCAUUCAUUUGGGCACUCUAAGGUGACUGCCGGUGACAACCCGAAGGAAGGUGGGG